rnacentral:rRNA from 1 species
ACUCCUACGGGAGGCAGCAGUGGGGAAUAUUGGACAAAUGGGGGCAACCCGUGCAUCCAGCCAUGCCGCGUGAGUGAUGAAGGCCUUAGGGUUGUAAAGCUCUUUCAGCGAGGAGGAUAAUGACGUUACUCGCAGAAGAAGCCCCGGCUAACUUCGUGCCAGCAGCCGCGGUAAUACGAAGGGGCGUAGCGUUGUUCGGAAUCACUGGGCGUAAAGCGCACGUAGGCGGAUUGAUAAGUUAGGGGUGAAAUCCCGGGGCUCAACCUCGGAACUGCCUUUGAUACUGUCAGUCUUGAGUCCGAGAGAGGUGAGUGGAACUCCGAGUGUAGAGGUGAAAUUCGUAGAUAUUCGGAAGAACACCAGUGGCGAAGGCGGCUCACUGGCUCGGUACUGACGCUGAGGUGCGAAGCGUGGGGAGCAAACAGGAUUAGAUACCCUGGUAGA